rnacentral:rRNA from 1 species
GAUGAACGCUGGCGGCGUGCUUAAUACAUGCAAGUCGAGCGAAAGGACGCGAAGCUUGCUUCUUUGAUGUUAGCGGCGGACGGGUGAGUCACACGUGGAUAACCUCCCUAUAUGUCUGGGAUAAUUUCGGGAAACCGUAGCUUAUCCCGGAUAAUAUUUUGCACCGCAUGGUUCAUAAGAGAAAGACGGUCUUGCUGUCACUUAUAGAUGGAUCCGCGCUGCAUGAGCUAGUUGGUAAGGUAACCGCUUACCAAGGCAACGAUGCAUAGACGACCUGUGAGAGUGAUCGGCCACACGGGAGCUGGGACGCCGACCAGGCUCCUACGGGAGGCAGCAGUAGGGAAUCGUCCGCAAUGGUCGAAAGCCUUGCGGAGCGACGCCGCGUGAGUUAUGAAGGUCUUCGGAGCGUAAAACUCUGUUAUUGGGGGAGAACAGAUUUGUAAGUAACUGUGCACAUCUUGACGGUACCGAAUCAGAAAGCCACGGCUAACUACGUG